rnacentral:rRNA from 1 species
CCUGAGUACGACGGAGCACGUGAAAUUCCGUCGGAAUCUGGGAGGACCAUCUCCUAAGGCUAAAUACUCUCUAGUGACCGAUAGUGAACCAGUACCGUGAGGGAAAGGUGAAAAGUACCCCGGAAGGGGAGUGAAAGAGAACUUGAAACCGUGUGCUUACAAGUAGUCAGAGCCCGUUAAUGGGUGAUGGCGUGCCUUUUGUAGAAUGAACCGGCGAGUUACGAUCUGAUGCAAGGUUAAGCAGAAAAUGUGGAGCCGUAGCGAAAGCGAGUCUGAAUAGGGCGAAUGAGUAUUUGGUCGUAGACCCGAAACCAGGUGAUCUACCCUUGGUCAGGUUGAAGUUCAGGUAACACUGAAUGGAGGACCGAACCGACUUACGUUGAAAAGUGAGCGGAUGAACUGAGGGUAGCGGAGAAAUUCCAAUCGAACUUGGAGAUAGCUGGUUCUCUCCGAAAUAGCUUUAGGGCUAGCCUCAAGUGAUGAUUAUUGGAGGUAGAGCACUGUUUGGACGAGGGGCCCCUCUCGGGUUACCGAAUUCAGACAAACUCCGAAUGCCAAAUAAUUUAACUUGGGAGUCAGAAUGUGGGUGAUAAGGUCCAUAUUCGAAAGGGAAACAGCCCAGACCACCAGCUAAGGUCCCAAAAUAUAUGUUAAGUGGAAAAGGAUGUGGCGUUGCCCAGACAACUAGGAUGUUGGCUUAGAAGCAGCCAUCAUUUAAAGAGUGCGUAAUAGCUC